rnacentral:rRNA from 1 species
GCUGGCGGCGUGCCUAACACAUGCAAGUCGAACGGUUAAACCGCCCUCGGGCGGACAUACAGUGGCGAACGGGUGAGUAACACGUGACCAACCUGCCCCGCGCUCCGGGACAACCGCUGGAAACGGCGGCUAAUACCGGAUACUCCGCGGCCCCCGCAUGGGGGCGGCGGGAAAGCCCCGACGGCGCGGGAUGGGGUCGCGGCCCAUUAGGUAGUAGGCGGGGUAGAGGCCCACCUAGCCGACGAUGGGUAGCCGGACUGAGAGGUCGAUCGGCCACAUUGGGACUGAGAUACGGCCCAGACUCCUACGGGAGGCAGCAGUGGGGAAUUUUGCGCAAUGGGGGAAACCCUGACGCAGCAACGCCGCGUGCGGGACGAAGGCCCUCGGGUCGUAAACCGCUUUCAGCAGGGAAGACCACGACGGUACCUGCAGAAGAAGCUCCGGCUAACUACGUGCCAGCAGCCGCGGUAAUACGUAGGGGGCGAGCGUUAUCCGGAUUCAUUGGGCGUAAAGCGCGCGUAGGCGGCCGCCUAAGCGGAACCUCUAACCCCGGGGCUCAACCUCGGGCCGGGUUCCGGACUGGGCGGCUCGAGUGCGGUAGAGGAGAGCGGAAUUCCCGGUGUAGCGGUGGAAUGCGCAGAUAUCGGGAAGAACACCGAUGGCGAAGGCAGCUCUCUGGGCCGUCACUGACGCUGAGGCGCGAAAGCUGGGGGAGCGAACAGGAUUAGAUACCCUGGUAGUCCCAGCCGUAAACGAUGGAUACUAGGUGUGGGGGGGAUCCCCCCUCCGUGCCGCAGCCAACGCAUUAAGUAUCCCGCCUGGGGAGUACGGCCGCAAGGCUAAAACUCAAAGGAAUUGACGGGGGCCCGCACAAGCAGCGGAGCAUGUGGCUUAAUUCGAAGCAACGCGAAGAACCUUACCAGGGCUUGACAUGCGCCUGAAGCCGCGGAGACGCGGUGGCCGAGAGGAGGGCGCGCAGGUGGUGCAUGGCUGUCGUCAGCUCGUGUCGUGAGAUGUUGGGUUAAGUCCCGCAACGAGCGCAACCCCCGUCCCGUGUUGCCAGCAUUAGGUUGGGGACUCGCGGGAGACUGCCGGCGUCAAGCCGGAGGAAGGUGGGGACGACGUCAAGUCAUCAUGCCCCUUAUGCCCUGGGCUGCACACGUGCUACAAUGGCCGGUACAGAGGGUUGCCACCCCGCGAGGGGGAGCGGAUCCCGGAAAGCCGGCCCCAGUUCGGAUCGCAGGCUGCAACCCGCCUGCGUGAAGCCGGAGUUGCUAGUAAUCGCGGAUCAGCACGCCGCGGUGAAUACGUUCCCGGGCCUUG